UGGGGAAUUUUGGACAAUGGGCGAAAGCCUGAUCCAGCAAUGCCGCGUGUGUGAAGAAGGCCUUCGGGUUGUAAAGCACUUUUGUCCGGAAAGAAAUCCUUGGCUCUAAUACAGUCGGGGGAUGACGGUACCGGAAGAAUAAGCACCGGCUAACUACGUGCCAGCAGCCGCGGUAAUACGUAGGGUGCAAGCGUUAAUCGGAAUUACUGGGCGUAAAGCGUGCGCAGGCGGUUUUGCUAAGACCGAUGUGAAAUCCCCGGGCUCAACCUGGGAACUGCAUUUGGUGACUGGCAGGCUAGAGUAUGGCAGAGGGGGGUAGAAUUCCACGUGUAGCAGUGAAAUGCGUAGAGAUGUGGAGGAAUACCGAUGGCGAAGGCAGCCCCCUGGGCCAAUACUGACGCUCAUGCACGAAAGCGUGGGGAGCAAACAGGAUUAGAUACCCUGGUAGUCCACGCCCUAAACGAUGUCAACUAGUUGUUGGGGAUUCAUUUCCUUAGUAACGUAGCUAACGCGUGAAGUUGACCGCCUGGGG
rnacentral:rRNA from 1 species